CUGGCUAGCUCCUGGCUCUGUGCUGCCCGGAUUCCCUCCAGUGACCCCUCCAGGAAACUCCAGAAUCCUCUCUCUUGCUCUGCUUCCAGGAAGCCGGACUGGAGACCAUCCACUCCAGCAGUGGCUCUUGCUCGGAAGCCAGCCCUGCAAGUUGUUUCUGGAUCAGAUCACUCACCACAGGACUGGGAAGCUCCUGUAAGGCCGGACCCCGCGGGCCAUGAUGGGCCGCCCCUCCUCUCCCUCCUGCCGGUGAGGGAAGUCCCUAUCGGAAGGAGCCUCGCAGAUCCCAGGACCGAUGACAGCACACUUCGCCAGCUAAAGCCGCCCCACCCCAGCCACGAAGAAGGACCUGUCAGCCUGUGAUGCCUGGGCGUGGCGACCUAUCUGACCCCCAUCCAUCUAGCCUGACCAUCCCUUGCAACGAACGUAUAAAAGCCACCCCCCACACGAUCUGGGCCACGGACUUCCUUGACCUGCCUCUUUCGGGUCUGGGAACCCCGCCCGGGACGGCUUCGCCAUUAAAGAGCCUGUUAGACACUG